UGUGUACAAAAUGUUGAUUUCUUACAUGACUUUCUUACUUACUAAUGUAAAAGGGACAAAUACAACAAAUUGAUAUAUUUAAAUUAUAUUUGAUAAUUAUUAAGUUUUUUAUAACUCUUUAAGAGCUAAAUAUUAAUUAAUCAGGAGAUUUUGUGUUGGGGACAUUAUAAAGUGAUUAAAUUAUAUUCUAUUAGUUACAUACAAAGAAGAAAAAAAUAUGACUGAAACCUUCAUGUUUAUUUGUGUUACAAUACUCUUUUUUUCUCUAUUUCUUAUUUCAAUGGAAGUUAACGCAUUACUUAAGAUAUGUGAUAAAGAUUCUGACUGUCCAAGAAUGAUGUGCUUAUAUCCUGAAAUUGUGAGGUGUAUUGAUAAUAAAUGUGUUUGCGUUCGUAUGAUGUAUUGAUGUUACUACUUCUAUGAGUAUUACAAUAAAAAAAGAGUAAAGAAAAUAUUUGUUGGAAAGAAUGGUUUCUCACACUAGCAAUAGAUCUUUGUAAUAUCCUUUCUGCUUAAAAA